rnacentral:tRNA from 1 species
GGUGUAGUGCCGGAUAAAACGGAAUGCGUUGAUGAUGCAAAAAAUAAGAGAGUAUUUUCUUCUAUGCCU